GGGAUUGUGGCUUAGCAGUAGAGCCCUUGCCUAGCAUGCAUGAGGCACUGAGUUCAAUCCUCAGUACCA
rnacentral:tRNA from 1 species